UACGUAGGUGACAAGCGUUGUCCGGAUUUACUGGGCGUAAAGAGCGCGCAGGCGGUCGAUCAAGUCGAGUGUGAAAGCCCCCGGCUCAACUGGGGAGGGUCAUUCGAUACUGAUCGACUCGAAGGCAGGAGAGGGUAGUGGAAUUCCCGGUGUAGUGGUGAAAUGCGUAGAUAUCGGGAGGAACACCAGUGGCGAAGGCGACUACCUGGCCUGUUCUGACGCUGAGGCGCGAAAGCUAGGGGAGCAACGGGAUUAAGAAACCCCAGUAACGUCC
rnacentral:rRNA from 1 species